GCAAACUGCCCAUGGAGAAUGGAUGGAUUCUCAUCUCUGUGUGCCCUAUUUCACUGCAGCUGAUGGACCUCGGAAAGCAGCCUGCCUUGGAUUUUACACCUCAGGGGAUAUGGACACAUCUCCUGGAUAUGGAACAGGAAACUUACAUUAGAGGAUUAAAUCUGAUUGCAUGGAAAGCAAGUCAGGAACUAAAUGGAAAUGUUUGUUUGUUUGUUUUGAGACAGAAUUUCACUCUUGUCGCCCAGGCUGGAGUGCAAUGGUGCGUACUCAGCUCACUGCAACCUCCGCCUCUCGGAUUCAAGAGAUUUUCCUGCCUCAGCCUCCUGAGUAGCUGGGACUACAGGUGGCAUCGCAAAGUGCUGGGAUUACAGGCAUGAGCCACUGCACCCAGCUGGAAACUAGGUCUUUAAUGACAUUAUUCAGUUACCUAACUUUCCUGUGUAACCCACUGAUGGACAUCACCCUCUAGGAGGUGAAAAAUACUUAUAAACUGCUAUUGUAGAUUUGUAUGUUACCUGUAGAGGAAUGGGUGAGAAAAAAAAAGUCAAAUGAAAAAUAUUCCUAUACGCCUGUGCUAUAAUUAUAUAUGGAGGGGGAUCUUGUUCUCUAGAGUUCAGUGGCCCAAUCACAGCUCACUGCAGCCUUGAACUCCUGGGCGCAAGACAUCCUUCUGCUUCAGCCUCUCUAGUAGCUGGGACUACAGGAGCAUGCUACUAUGACUGACUAAUUUUUUUUAAUUUUUUGUGGAGGCAGAGUCUCACUCUCUGUUUUCCAGGGUGGUCUUGAACUCCUGGGCUCAGGUAAUUCUCUUGCCUUGGCCUCCCAAAAU
rnacentral:lncRNA from 10 species